rnacentral:rRNA from 1 species
UACGUAGGGUGCGAGCGUUAAUCGGAAUUACUGGGCGUAAAGCGUGCGCAGGCGGUUUUGUAAGCCAGAUGUGAAAUCCCCGGGCUUAACCUGGGAAUGGCAUUUGGGACUGCAAGGCUUGAGUGCGGUAGAGGAGACUGGAAUUCCUGGUGUAGCAGUGAAAUGCGUAGAUAUCAGGAGGAGCACCGAUGGCGAAGGCAGGUCUCUGGGCUGACACUGACGCUCAUGCACGAAAGCGUGGGGAGCAAACAGG